AGCCCCAUCCUCACCCCCUGCCCUGGGACUUCUGCCCGCAUCCACUUCCAGCUCAAUACAGCUGGAAGCAAGACAGCAAUGAUUAACUUGGAUUCUUCCCCUGUCUCUGACACGCCUCAGAGCAAAUCACCCCGAUAAAAGACUUCUUUUUCCCCUAAUAAAACAAAACUCGCCCUCAAAUAACAGAUGAUUAAGAAGCAGAGGACGGAAUGGAAAGCUGUGGCAGCACUGGGAUGCUGACUCAGGUGCCUCAGUGUCCCCACCUCCAGGAGUGGAAGAAGGAGCCUACAGAGGUGCUUUCUGCAGGCGUCUGUCCCAGGGACACACAAGCAAAGGACAGAACAGCUCUCGACUGAUGGCAUCCCUGCAUUUCCAGAUGCGCACACACACACCUGUAGGAAAAGACUCAAUCUCUGCCAUGGCUGGAGCACUCUUCAUUUGAAUGAUAACCACGGAUGUGCUGGGGUGCAGGC